rnacentral:rRNA from 1 species
UACAGAGGGUGCAAGCGUUAAUCGGAAUUACUGGGCGUAAAGCGCAUGUAGGUGGGAUAAUAAGUUUGAUGUGAAAGCCCUGGGCUUAACCUGGGAAUGGCGUUGAAGACUAUUAUUCUAGAGUUUGACAGAGGGUCGUGGAAUUUCCGGUGUAGCGGUGAAAUGCGUAGAGAUCGGAAAGAACACCAGUGGCGAAGGCGGCGCCUGGGUCAAAACUGACACUGAGGUGCGAAAGCGUGGGGAGCAAACAGG